rnacentral:rRNA from 1 species
CCUACGGGAGGCAGCAGUGAGGAAUAUUGGUCAAUGGGCGAGAGCCUGAACCAGCCAAGUCGCGUGAGGGAGUACUGCCCUAUGGGUUGUAAACCUCUUUUGUCGGGGAGCAAAAGCCGGACGUGUCCGGCUGUGAGAGUACCCGAAGAAAAAGCAUCGGCUAACUCCGUGCCAGCAGCCGCGGUAAUACGGAGGAUGCGAGCGUUAUCCGGAUUUAUUGGGGUAAAAGGGUGCGCAGGCGGAUUUUUAAGUCAGCGGUCAAAUCGUGGGGCUCAACCCCAUCCAGCCGUUGAAACUGGGGAUCUAGAGUGUGCGAGAGGUAUGCGGAAUGUGUGGUGUAGCGGUGAAAUGCAUAGAUAUCACGCAGAACCCCGAUUGCGAAGGCAGCAUACCGGUGCACAACUGACGCUCAGGCACGAAAGCGUGGGUAUCGAACAGGAUUAGAUACCCCAGUAGUC